rnacentral:misc_RNA from 1 species
CCCAAAAAGACCAUUUGACUCCCUAAUUCUUUAUCAUAUCCUUUUGAUUUAUCCUUUUUCGUUAGCGGUUCAAAACUCCUUAUCUUUCUCAUUCACUUUUAUACAAAAGGAUCUGAGCGAAAAAGCUGUUCUCUUAUCACAUGUCACAUUAUAUAUGAUACAUGUACAAAUUAACAUCUUUGAGCAAGGAAUCCCCGUUUGAAUGAUUCACGAUCGAGAUUUUUAUUCAUACUGAAACUUACAAAGUUGUUCUUUUGACAAAUUAUAGGAACUGGAUGAGGCUUUGUAAUACCCUUUCAAUUGACAUAGACCCACGUUCUCUAGUAAAAUGAAAUGAGGAUGAGACAUCAGGAAUAGUUGGGAUAGCUCAGUUGGUAGAGCAGAGGACUGAAAAUCCUCGUGUCA